UACCAGCUCUCCGAGUGGUGUGGAUGUUUAUUGGGCCUAAAGCAUCCGUAGCUGGCUGGGCAAGUCCCCUGUUAAAUCCACCGAUUUAAUCGUUGGUGUGCGGGGGAUACUGUUCGGCUAGGGGACGGGAGAGGCCGACGGUAUUUUCGGGGUAGGGGUGAAAUCCUAUAAUCCCGGGAAGACCACCAGUGGCGAAGGCUGUCGGCUAGAACGCGCCCGACGGUGAGGGAUGAAAGCUGGGGGAGCGAACCGGAUUAGAUACCCGGGUAGUCCCAGCUGUAAACGAUGCAGGCUAGGUGUUUGGGCGGCCACGUGCCGCUCUAGUGCCGCAGAGAAGUCGUUAAGCCUGCCGCCUGGGGAGUACGGCCGCAAGGCUGAAACUUAAAGGAAUUGGCGGGGAGCACCACAAGGGGUGAAGCUUGCGGUUU
rnacentral:rRNA from 1 species